CGCUGGGCAACCUGCCUGCUAAGACUGGGAUAACUUCGGGAAACCGAAGCUAAUACCGGAUAGGAUCUUCUCCUUCAUGGGAGAUGAUUGAAAGAUGGUUUCGGCUAUCACUUACAGAUGGGCCCGCGGUGCAUUAGCUAGUUGGUGAGGUAACGGCUCACCAAGGCAACGAUGCAUAGCCGACCUGAGAGGGUGAUCGGCCACACUGGGACUGAGACACGGCCCAGACUCCUACGGGAGGCAGCAGUAGGGAAUCUUCCGCAAUGGACGAAAGUCUGACGGAGCAACGCCGCGUGAGUGAUGAAGGCUUUCGGGUCGUAAAACUCUGUUGUUAGGGAAGAACAAGUACAAGAGUAACUGCUUGUACCUUGACGGUACCUAACCAGAAAGCCACGGCUAACUACGUGCCAGCAGCCGCGGUAAUACGUAGGUGGCAAGCGUUAUCCGGAAUUAUUGGGCGUAAAGCGCGCGCAGGCGGUUUCUUAAGUCUGAUGUGAAAGCCCACGGCUCAACCGUGGAGGGUCAUUGGAAACUGGGGAACUUGAGUGCAGAAGAGAAAAGCGGAAUUCCACGUGUAGCGGUGAAAUGCGUAGAGAUGUGGAGGAACACCAGUGGCGAAGGCGGCUUUUUGGUCUGUAACUGAC
rnacentral:rRNA from 1 species